rnacentral:rRNA from 1 species
UACAGAGGGCGCGAGCGUUGUCCGGAAUCACUGGGCGUAAAGGGCGCGUAGGUGGCCACCAUAAGGCCGCGGUGAAAGUCUGGGGCUCAACCCCGGAUCGGCCGCGGCGACUGUGGGGCUUGGGCACCGUAGAGGCAGAUGGAAUUCCGGGUGUAGCGGAUGGGAAUGCGUAGAGGAUCCGGAAGAACACCAGUGGCGAAAGGCGGUCUGCUGGGCGGUGGGACCGAAAGGUCUCGGAUGGCCGACACUGAGGCGCGACAGCGUGGGGAGCAAACAGG